GGGAGUUUGGCCGAGUGGUUAAGGCGUCGUGUUUAGGUCUCCUCACAGGAAAUCUUGAACGUUGUUCCGCGAUGGGAAACCGCGCAGGUUCGAAUCCUGCAGCUCUCA